GGCUUAACACAUGCAAGUCGAGCGGAAACGAUGAUAGCUUGCUAUCAGGCGUCGAGCGGCGGACGGGUGAGUAAUACUUAGGAAUCUACCUAGUAGUGGGGGAUAGCUCGGGGAAACUCGAAUUAAUACCGCAUACGACCUACGGGAGAAAGGGGGCAGUUUACUGCUCUCGCUAUUAGAUGAGCCUAAGUCGGAUUAGCUAGAUGGUGGGGUAAAGGCCUACCAUGGCGACGAUCUGUAGCUGGUCUGAGAGGAUGAUCAGCCACACCGGGACUGAGACACGGCCCGGACUCCUACGGGAGGCAGCAGUGGGGAAUAUUGGACAAUGGGGGCAACCCUGAUCCAGCCAUGCCGCGUGUGUGAAGAAGGCCUUUUGGUUGUAAAGCACUUUAAGCAGUGAAGAAGACUCCAUGGUUAAUACCCAUGGACGAUGACAUUAGCUGCAGAAUAAGCACCGGCUAACUCUGUGCCAGCAGCCGCGGUAAUACAGAGGGUGCAAGCGUUAAUCGGAAUUACUGGGCGUAAAGCGAGCGUAGGUGGCUUGAUAAGUCAGAUGUGAAAUCCCCGGGCUUAACCUGGGAACUGCAUCUGAUACUGUUAGGCUAGAAUAGGUGAGAGGAAGGUAGAAUUCCAGGUGUAGCGGUGAAAUGCGUAGAGAUCUGGAGGAAUACCGAUGGCGAAGGCAGCCUUCUGGCAUCAUAUUGACACUGAGGUUCGAAAGCGUGGGUAGCAAACAGGAUUAGAUACCCUGGUAGUCCACGCCGUAAACGAUGUCUACUAGUCGUUGGGUCCCUUGAGGACUUAGUGACGCAGCUAACGCAAUAAGUAGACCGCCUGGGGAGUACGGCCGCAAGGUUAAAACUCAAAUGAAUUGACGGGGGCCCGCACAAGCGGUGGAGCAUGUGGUUUAAUUCGAUGCAACGCGAAGAACCUUACCUGGUC
rnacentral:rRNA from 1 species